UACGGGGGGAGCAAGCGUUGUUCGGAUUUACUGGGCGUAAAGAGCGCGCAGGCGGUCGAUUAAGUCGAAUGUGAAAGCCCCCGGCUUAACUGGGGAGGGUCAUUCGAUACUGAUCGACUUGAAGGCAGGAGAGGGAAGCAGAAUUCCCGGUGUAGUGGUGAAAUGCGUAGAUAUCGGGAGGAAUACCAGUGGCGAAGGCGGCUUCCUGGCCUGUUCUUGACGCUGAGGCGCGAAAGCUGGGGGAGCAAACGGG
rnacentral:rRNA from 1 species